rnacentral:rRNA from 1 species
UGGGGAAUAUUGCACAAUGGGCGCAAGCCUGAUGCAGCAACGCCGCGUGAGGGACGACGGCCUUCGGGUUGUAAACCUCUUUUAGUAGGGAAGAAGCGAAAGUGACGGUACCUGCAGGAAAAGCACCGGCUAACUACGUGCCAGCAGCCGCGGUAAUACGUAGGGUGCGAGCGUUGUCCGGAAUUAUUGGGCGUAAAGAGCUCGUAGGCGGUCUGUCGCGUCUGCUAUGAAAACCCGAGGCUCAACCUCGGGCCUGCAGUGGGUACGGGCAGACUAGAGUGCGGUAGGGGAGAAUGGAAUUCCUGGUGUAGCGGUGGAAUGCGCAGAUAUCAGGAGGAACACCGAUGGCGAAGGCAGUUCUCUGGGCCGUAACUGACGCUGAGGAGCGAAAGCGUGGGGAGCGAACAGGAUUAGAUACCCUGGUAGUCCACGCCGUAAACGUUGGGCGCUAGAUGUGGGGGACCAUUCCAC